UAUGAAGGGGGCUAGCGUUGCUCGGAAUCACUGGGCGUAAAGCGCACGUAGGCGGCUUGUUAAGUCAGGGGUGAAAUCCUGGAGCUCAACUCCAGAACUGCCUUUGAUACUGGCGAGCUUGAGUUCGGGAGAGGUGAGUGGAACUGCGAGUGUAGAGGUGAAAUUCGUAGAUAUUCGCAAGAACACCAGUGGCGAAGGCGGCUCACUGGCCCGGUACUGACGCUGAGGUGCGAAAGCGUGGGGAGCAAACGGG
rnacentral:rRNA from 1 species